GUCCAGGGAUGGGAAUCGAACCCACAGUGUUCCGCUUACCAGGCAGAUGCCAUGUCCCUAGGCUACCCUGGA
rnacentral:tRNA from 1 species